GGCCCAAACUAAACAAUGACGCAUUUUUUAACCAACGUCCUUGUAACCCAAUAAGGACGCUUAAAAUUUUGAACAGCACGGCCCUUAGCUAUAAUGAUAAAUGUUUAGAAUCCUUCUCUCCUUUCGAGACGUGAACAAAAUAAACAAAGAAAACUGAAGAGCCCCUUCUGCUCUCCACUUCGUCUUCUCCGGUUCUCUCUCUCGAUCGAGUGAGAGCUGUAUUCAUGAAAUCACCGCCGAUUCCUAGAUCAGCGACCAUUCAACAUCGAAUCCCUUGUCAUCUCCGUGUAUGCAUAAAACCUUCUCUUCUGCACACACAUGCUGCCAAAUCCCCUGUUUGUUUCUGGCAAUAUCUUGUCCCUCGCCCUCCGCCGUUUCUCUUUCAAGGAUUUAUUUUUUCUUUUUCUUCUUUUCUGGAAAUCUUUCGAUCUGUGUGAAGUCACUACUGAAUUGUUCUUUUUUUUUUUUUUCUAGGGUUAUAUUUUCUUUUUUGGUUUUGUGACUAAUUUUGUUUGAUUGAUAUCUGCAAUAUCGUUUUUUCUUUAUUUUGGUUCUAAGUGUGAAGUGGUUUGAAUGGGCAUAAGAAUCUUCUAGAGAAACUAAUCUGGGAUCCAACCAGAUCUGAGAGCUUUGGUGCUUCAAAAAUUUUAGAUAUUAUUUUAAAUGAGUUUGCAGAUUUUGAAUUAGGGAUUUAAGUUUUUGGUUGAGAAAAAGUUCAUGGUCGGUGAUGUGAAUGAAUUGAGACACCUACAUCUGCUAAACUUGUUUUCUGUCGUUUCCGCGGCAGGUUUCAGCUAGAGAAAAUGGAGCAGCAACUUGAAAAAAUUCUUGAUUCUGUACAGGUUGAUUCAAAGAAGUUUGGAAUGCUGGCAAAUUGGCAGCGGGAUUUCACCAUGGAAAAUAUAUUGAUGCAGCUGAAGAAGGAAAUGACAGCCUCACACAUACUUAAAAUACCAGCUGCUGAAACUUGUUAGAUAUUCUACGUACUAAUAUUAGGCUUCAGACUCAGAACACAUGCUCAACUUAAGUUGCUAGUAGCUGCUGGCAUGUUUAAAUGUUAAAGUUUUUAACAGGUUGAGGACUAUCAAAAGAAAGAUCAAAAGGCCAAUAAAGUACAUUAACUACCGGGAUUAUACACGGUAAUUACUUUUGCUUAUGUCCUAAGUUUGGGAUCAUAGAGAUUACAUUUCGAAAUAUGACUGCUCUACAAGGGCAAAUCACAUAGUUCCAGAUGGAACUUUGUUUUGCUUC